rnacentral:rRNA from 1 species
CGGUAAUUCCAGCUCCAAUAGCGUAUACUAAAGUUGUUGCAGUUAAAAAGCUCGUAGUUGGAUUUCUGCGGGGACGGAGCGGCCGGUCGCAACUUGCGACUCGAGCUAGCGCUUUCCCCGCAUCCUGCCGCGAACCGUGCUACCAUUAGCUUGGUGGCGCUGGGGAUCGGCUCGAUUACUUUGAGAAAAAUAGAGUGUUCAAAGCAGGCCACACGCCUUGAAUAAGUUAGCAUGGAAUAAUGACUAAGGACUUCGGUUCUAUUUUGUUGGUGUUCGGGACUGAAGUAAUGAUUGAUAGGGACAGUUGGGGCGGUCUGUAUUCCAAAGCGAGAGGUGAAAUUCUUAGACCUUCGGAAGACAAACAGCUGCGAAAGCGUUCCGCAAGGAUGUUCCCUUUGAUCAAGAACGAAAGUUGGGGGAUCGAAGACGAUCAGAUACCGUCGUAGUCUCAACUAUAAACUAUACCAGCUAGGGAUCGGUCAACGUUUAAUCAUUCGACUUGAUCGGCACCUUAUGAGAAAUCAAAGCAUCUGGGUUCCGGGGGGAGUAUGGUCGCAAGGCUGAAACUUAAAGGAAUUGACGGAAGGGCACCACCAGCCGUGGAGCCUGUGGCUUAAUUUGACUCAACACGGGAAAACUUACCAGGUCCAGGCAUAGUAAGGAUUGACAGAUUGAUAGCUCUUUCUUGAUUCUGUGGGUGGUGGUGCAUGGCCGUUCUUAGUUGGUGGAGUGAUUUGUCUGGUUAAUUCCGUUAACGAACAAGACCCCAGCCUGCUAAAUAGCGCGGCUGAGCUUUGCUCGGUGCGAGCUUCUUAGAGGGACUAUGAUGCGCGAUAGCACAUGGAAGUUUGGGGCAAUAACAGGUCUGUGAUGCCCUUAGAUGUUCUGGGCCGCACACGGGCUACACUGGCGCCUGCAACGAGCAUAUCAGCUGGCCCGAGAGGGUCUUGGCUAAUCUUUUGAACCGGCGCCGUGCUUGGGAUUGACCAUUGCAAUUGUUGGUCAUGCAACGAGGAAUGCCUUGUAAACGCGAGUCAUCAGCUCGCAUUGAAUACGUCCCUGCCCUUUGUACACACCGCCCGUCGCUCCUACCGAUGAAUGUUCCGAUGAAAUUUUCGGAGAGCGCCAGAGAACGGGGCUCCGCCUUGCAGAUCUGGAGGCUCAAAGUCACUUAAAUCUGAACAUUUCGAGGAAGGAGAAGUCGUAACAAGGUAGCCG